GAAGUAAGAGUUGUAUUCCCAUUUUCACUUUUUUAUUUUCUCAUCUUUUAACUUUUUUAUCCAUCCCUCUUACUCUAUUAUUUACCAACCAAACCCUAUGGCUAUGAUUGAAAAUCACAUCCAGUGAUAAUAAUUCUGAAUAAAAUUGUUUUCUAUUGAUUAACUUUGAUUUUUAACCAAUCAAAUGAAAAUAUUUUUCACUCAUUAACGCUAAAAAGGAAAAUAGACUAAGAUGUUUUUAUAUUAGUGGAAAGAAAAGUUAUACUAACAUUUUAACGUUUUUAUUUUUUUCUCUUUUUUAUUUUUAAUCUCUCUCUCUUUUACUCUAUUAUUUACCAAUCAAACCAUAUGGCUCUAAUUGAAAAGCACUUCGAGCGGUAACAAUUUGGAGUAAAAACAAAUUAUGCUGAAUUACUCAGCUAUUUAACCAAUUAG
rnacentral:lncRNA from 1 species